GAAAAGAAAAAUGUGGAAAAAAAACCCAGGAAGUUCCCUUGCAGAGAAGUAACAUGCUAUCACGAAUUCUUACAUAUUUCUGUUUUUAAAAAUUAGCCUAACUAUAAGUGACAGCAGCCUCCUGAGCUGUGCCUUUCCUCUCAGCUGAGCGCUGGGUCCAGUGCUGGGCUCCCCAGGGCAAGAGAGACAGGGACAACCUGGGGAGAAUCCAGUGAAGGGACACAAAUAUGACUAUAUGACUAUCAGUCCCGUCACAAAGAGGGGCUGAGAGAGCUAGGUCUGAUCAGUCUGAAGAAGAGAAGGCUCAAGGGGAUCUGGGAAACAUGUUCUAGCCGUGGAUAUCCCUGUUCAUUGCAGGGGAGUUGGAAGAGAUGACCUUUAAAGGUCCCCUCCAACUCUAAGGAUUCUAUGAUCUUAUCUGCUUGAACCAAUUAAUAUCUGAUGGGGAAAGCAAAGAGUGAGCCAGACUCUUGCAUUGGUGCCCAGUGAUGAGACAAGAAUCAAAGGCACAAACUGAAAUGCGGGAAAUCCUAUUUGAACACAACUAAAAAAGCUUUCUUUUUUCAACCUGUGAGAGGUUGAACACAGAAGCAGGUUGCCCUGAAUAAAACCUUCAAACAUACAAAUCCACUCUUCAGUAAACCCUGGAGAUAGUCAAAGCCCUGUGGGAUGCAGGUCUGAGCACCUUGCUCUGAGCAGCAGGUUUGGUCUAGGUGAUCUCCAGAGCUCCUUUCAUCCUCAGUGAUUCCGUGAAGCUGAUGAACUACAUGAAAUUGAACUAUGCUGCGUAAACUGAUCCUUUCUUCAACCAACAUUGUCUUCAGUGAGCUGCUAGAGACUGCUUGUAACUUAUCUGGAGUAUUAAUUUCUAUCCACUUCAGCCUUCAUUCCUUUUCAUUUGUCUUGACAAAUAUUUAAAAUUUCAUGGCUAUAAAUGUAUUAAUUAAAAUAGAACAGCAUCCAGACUGAAUGUUACAGAUUUCAAUCUGUAAAAGUAUACAGCUACUAAAAAUGAAGAUACUUACUUCUAAAUUCCACAGUAAAUAAUUUCAAAAAGUUUAGGAGAAACUGAGUGAAGUAUCUAAUGGAAGUUUCACAAAAAAUAUUCUCUGUCCACUCUCUCCUAUUGAGAUAGUAAUAACUACUUGUAAAUGAGACUCGAAGAGUGUUGUGUAGUCUUCCUUAAAAAUACCAUUAAGAUGAGAAUAGAACAACUGUUCUAUAUUUUGGAGACAUUUCUCCUUAAAUAGUGUUUAUGUACUGCAAGCAUCCCUUCCAUAAACAAACCAGGUCUUUGGAACAAGUGAACACAAUCUCUGAAGAAUCUUUACCAGCUUCUAUUUCUGGUAUAUGAUGCACUGCAAAUUUUAGGCCAACAUGGGCAUAUGGUCUCCUAGUUUGAUAGGAAACAUUUCAUGGAAUUCAAGACAGAGCCACAGCAUAAUGAUUGAAGACCUUAAAAUCUGUGAUAUAGUGCAAGGUUCAAAAGAAAAGAAAAAAAGAAGGUAAAGAAAAGAAAAACAAGUGUUUCCUGCUAGAAUGCUAGAAACAGCAGCAGCAUGCAAAGAUAGAAGAGGAAAAUCACUGUAACUGGUCAGGAUAAAGGUAUACUCUGAAUCCCUUUCUAAUCAAGCUUAACCUCAUUAAUUCACAUGUCCUAACCAUGCCUUACACUCUACUUUUUUUUUUUUUUUUUUUUUUUUUGGUUAGGGAGAAUCACCCAGUAAGGAAAUCAGUUUCUAGAACAAACAAUAAACUGUAUUUAUCUUAAUAGCCUUCAUGCAAGAUUUUCUGUCUUGGCAACCGUAAAAGCUUGUAUGCCCUCUGUACUUUUUGUACUCAUUCACAUCAGCACAGACUGAAUGCUGUAAAUGCACAGCAGCGAAUCCAGUGUCCCUAGACUAAUUCCUAUCUUACCUUGAAAAAUGUGGUACUUAAAUUGCUUAAGACACCAGCUUCAAAAUCUGCAUUGUCAUAAUCACUCCUGUCCACCUACGGGUCUCAUUUCUCCGAAGCAAUUACUCUUAUUGCAAGUGAUGGGGUGAAUUUACUGCUGGGGCAGUCAGCCUUGUUAAGUGGCGCACACUUGCCAACAGUAGUAUGAGAGCAAAACGUAACUUAGCAGGGAUUUCCAUCCUAAGUUCUGCACUCUGAGGAAGAAAUGCACCCACCCUGCCACAUACUCAGUUUUAUUAGUUCAGAGUGCGGCAGACAACUGGAAAACAGCAUUCGAGCAAUGAAGCAACAAGCUGGAGAAAGAGGCAUGGUGAAAUCCAUCCCGUAACCCCUCAGUUAAUUUAUUUGUCACAACCUUUGGAGGCCUCUUAAAUGAAGCAAACUGCACAGCAGUGCCUUGUAAAACAAACAGCCAGGUCUCCUUUGCAAGGGGCAUCAGCUCAAUUGCCCCACAGCUUUCCUUGCAGGCAGCUGUGGCCACACUUACACUAUAACUGGAAAGACAAAGAUGAUGGGGUUGCCUCCAAGUGGUCGCUGUGUUUGUGCAGGGCUAGGACAAGAAAAAGGCAAGCUGAUUGAGUCUGUUCUACUGAUCAAUACAUCAGAUUCUGCUGUGAAAUAAAAAACAAUAGGAAACAGUUUCCCUUCUACAUUACUUCUACUGCUUGUAUCACAAUUCAUCUGAUUUUAGCAAGACUUCAGAGGCCCAUGUACACAACUCAGAAAUAAAAAGAAACCUCUACUUCUAGACACGCCGUACGAAAUCAUAGCUGCUACUGGUUAAUAGGCUAUACUCAAAGCCAUUUCUGCUUUGCUGGCAGAACAAAAACCUUGACACGCUUAAGAAUUCACUUUUCAGUUUAAUUCAGGUUUUCCUUAACAGUCACUGUCAAAUUGUUUUCCUUCUCUUCCUUUAUCACCUAGUGGAAUCUUUAGCAGUGAAAAGGAAAGAGAUGUACACCAAAGAAUAGCACUUUAUAAUGACACAACUUUCUCUAGGAGAAAAAGAAAAAAUCUUCCAUUUCAUCAGCAUCUUUGCCAAAGUCUCUCUUUGAGAAACUGUAAAGAGAAGGGGGCUUUAUUUCCUACAGAUAUUUUAUAGGAAACAUUUUUUGGUUCUGUGUCAUGGACUAGGAUUUCACACCUUAGUGGCGAGUAUGGAAAUGGACAUGGCUGUGGAAACUUCAUGGCUGUGAAACCCUGAUAGUAAAAUCAGCAGGAAGAUGAGGAAGGUGUGGGGAACACUGAAUGACUAAUGCAGUAACAAACUCUGGACCCAUUGAGGAGAUUUUGGGAUGGCUGCCAAUGCUACCUGCCUAUGACCAGUAUCCUGGACCAACUGAAGAAGACUUUAAAUCCAGGCAUGACACACAGGGAAUAGUACUCUUUUGAAUAAUGCCAAAAUAUGUAAGUGGAUGUGAAAUGUAUGUAUUUUUAUAAGAAGAGAUCUUUUCAAAACCAGGUCACAGUUACCAAUGAGUUAUAUGAGUUAUACCUCUGAGAAAAAAAAAUCCUAGAAGAUAAAUAACAGGCCCUGUUUCCUUUAUUAAUAGCAGGCUGAGUUAAUGAGAGAAAAACUUUCAGAAGUUAUUACUGAGCAUUGCAAAGCUAAGCAUCUUAGCUAUGACAUACAACAAAUCUGUGUUUUGUAGCUAACUAUUCCUAUGCCAAAUCAAAGAGCAAACACUUUCCAUUUCAUACCCAAUGCAGUACAACUGCAUGAAGCACAAGGACAGCAAGAGGUGGUAGAAAUUAGUAAAAACCUACAGAACUAGUGAUGAUCUGAUGCACACCUGUCUUAGACAGCAACAACAAAUACCAAAAACCGGCUACACUGAGCUUCUCUUUUGCUGUUCUAAGGUUAAUUUUUGGCUGAUUUUACUAUGGAAUUGCCAUUAUCUACCUCUGGAGGCCUGGCACACGUGUGGCAAAGCUAGGGCAGACACAGGAAAUGUACCCUUAAGAUGGUCAGUGUGCUUUUGUAUUUCAGGAUCAGUAGCCCUAGUGCUGCAGUACAGACCACAUACACAGCUAGGGCAGGGACUCCUACUACACUUCAGUGAUUAAUGGCCUCAGAAUGAAAUACAAGUUUCCUACUGAAUGUUGCAAUCUCUCCACAAAUCUGGCCUUGUCUGCUAUCUACUGCCUGGGUUUUUGGAGCAUUGAAAGCUCAGCAUUACUCAGACCACCAGAGCCAGGUACCAGGCAGUCCGAAGCCACCUCACAGCUGGUGCAGGCUGGGCUGUAGCACCCGGCUGCAGUCACUAGAGGGUACUGCGAGGGCACCGAAAGGGUCACACUCCCAUGGCAGGGAGCAAAAGAAAAAACUGGGAAACCAUACCAGUGGGAGCAUCGCUUGACAACAACAAAUAGCUAUUUUCAUCUUAGAUUUGCUUUAAAAAUGCCGAAUCUGCGUCUCCAGUUUAAGCGGAAAGUAUUGGCACUCAGAGUGACACAUGCUACCAAUAAGCCAAGCAACUCACGCCUUUAUGGUUCAUUUUUAACACAGUGCAAUCUGUGGCUCAUGAGUCACACAGCCCACUCUUACGCAAAAGGCCAAAGAGCUACAAAGAGAAGAGCAAGAAUGGAAUUCCUAUGGUUUCAGCAGUGGUUACUCACAGGAGGCAAGAUGGGGAUCCCCUUACUUACGAACAGCACCACAUGAGGCUACAGGGAUAUUUAAGUAGUAAGGUAGUAUAAAAAGGAGAGGAAGACAGUCAGAACUUGAUGUUAAGAGGCAACAGCAUGUUAAUCAGCGAAGAAAUAGAAAAAUUAAAGCUACACCUAAUCACCCCUUGAACAAGUCUUAGCUAUUAUUUCUCUGAGUUCAUCCAAUAAACACUGCUAUUCUGUAUAGUGUAAAUAACUGCCAGGAAAUCUACUGCACGUUUUUCAAUAUUCUGCUAUUUUUAAAACACAUAACCCUUUUCAUGCACAAACAUCCCUUAGUGUGUCAGCAUGAGUUUCUGUGCAUUGCACAAAGCAUAGCAAAAAGGGAUGCUGGGUGAUGCUCAUGUUAUGCUCUUAAAUUCUACCAGUUUUCAGUAAUAAUUCUGAUCAACCAGUGCACUCCAGACUUUAUUGCCCAUCUUUCUUUUUUCAUUCCUUCUAUUGGCCAACCAGCUCUGGAGAAAACAUAUGUACAGUGGAUAGUACAAUGAGACACAGAAGUGGACAAAUAAUAGCAUAGUUGGGAAUAUCAAGCAAAAAUGUUAACAUUAACUAGGUUUACUUUUCACUCUAUUUAAACAGAAAAAAUUUAAGUAAGAAGUUUUUGUAUUUUAGGCUCAGCCAAUUUGGGCCACACUGAAUGUUAAAUAAACUAUUAUUUAAUCAAAUACAGGCAUAUUAGUCUCACUCCUGCUGACAACUUCAAUUAGAAUAUUUUUGCUUUGUACAAAAAAAGAGAAAAAAAAGCCCAUGAUCUUUAAACUACUAUGGCUUCUGCACAACAUCUGGUUACAAUUUUUUAUAUACUCAACCAUCAAACUUCUAUCUUCACAAAAUAGUUUGCUCGAGAUUUGUUUUAAUUAUCCUGCAUUGCAAGCUUCAUAUGGCUUUGAAAAGGGGGUGAAAGGAUCGCUCAUGAAGCAGACAGAUGCAAACUGAAAAGGACUGUUCACUGAAAGAUCUUUUUGAAACAAUUUUUAGAAAAUGAUAAAAACUUUUCUUUCAUUGCCAGGAAACAAGUGCUACUUUAACUGUUUCAUUACACAAUACUUCUUAGGUUGUUCAUUAGCGACUUUCAUUUUUUUUUGUUGGAUUCGAGGAUUAAGGUAAUCUUUACUAGCACUUUCAUUGGAGCCAUGCAAGUUUCAAGUACGUCUUUUCCCUUUUUCUUGCCAAUGCCACAGUGGGAACACUGCAUUUGAAAAACAGUUGGUUUAAAACAGAAAACUUAGCGAAGAGAGCAUCUGAAUGUGAUAAAGUAGAAAUAAAAAUGAAUUUUAUGGCAGCACAGGAAGGCCUUGCUCCUACAAAAAAAAAGUUGUGCUGAAUUUUAAGUAUGGGAGAGAUCUAAUUUAUUUUCAUAAGCCUAUUCACCUGUGUGAAGUUAAGCACAUCCAUAAGCUUUUGUAAAAUUGGACCUAAGACAAAAAUUAAGAGAAUGCCUGGGGUUCUGGUUUUAUUAAAUGCUAGAGGCUCAGUCAGCCAAAGGGACGUAACUGCGGGUUUCUUAAAUGGCUCUUUGGGUGCUAUACCAGAUCAGUAAGCCAUCACUACAGAUAGAAGGUGUUUGUCUUUACACGGUGGAAUCGCUGCAAACUUUGAAGGAUAUGAAACUCCUUAUUCAUUAAUUUGCACUACAUAUAUGGAUUAAUGGCACAGCGAUAUGGAAAGUUAUUAUUUAUUUUAUGAGGUAACUGCUUUGAAAUCCAGCAAAUGUAACUCCUUUUCCUGUUUUUCAGACAGUCAGCACCCAUCAUUCUCAGGAUAUUCAUGGAAACUUCAAGUUUUUUGUUUCUUUCUUUUUUUUUUUUUCCCCUUGGAGCUUCCUUGUAUUGCAAAAGCAUGGAUUAGUCUACACAAGAAAGUUAUUUUGUAGGAUUUUUGUUUCCUUAAGAUUCUCCAGUGAAGCCAGCAGAAGACAUAGCUGGAAAAACACAGCUUGUGACCAGGGUCUAUCUAUGUCGAUAAGCUUCAAUGGCCUGAGUCUCAAACAGAAACAAACCUUUAUGAGUUCGGUACUGGUACUGGAACAAUAUACACAGCUUCUUUUUUGGAUUUUUAAAUGGUGAAACCUCAUUCAUGUACUAAAGAGGGUCUGAAGAAAUGACUUUAGCUCUGGGAGGUAUUCUGGGAUUAGAGCCACGACAAAGCCAUGUCUAUGUAUCAGUGACCACCAGCCACCAACACACACACACACAAGCACCAAAAUUUUUCAAUCCAUGGCCAAGCACAUCAAAAUGAGUCUAACCCCUGGAGCCUACUUAAUUAGUCAGAAGGACCUUUGAGCUUUAGGCUGAGCCUUGCUUUCACUGGGGCUGUAAGAACUGCUAGAGUGGUUUCCCUCAGUUACAAUAAUGUUUGACGCUGCUUGCAACCAGAAAAAAGAAAAUGUGCAAGAAUGCAAAACUCUACCGACUGCUGAUACAAAGACACUGCUUUUCGUAGACUUGAUUGGCACUGAGUACCAUGAUGGAGAGACAGUUUUACCUUACAUCAUUCUCAUUUUCAAAAUCUAUUGGCUGCACUGAGGUAGCUGGGACACCAGGAAUGUAACUGUCCCCCUCCAUUACAGCUACAAACUCAGCAUAUCAGCAAAAGGACUUGCUGGGCUUGUGCUGAUUAAGGAGAGGAAACAUGAAUUGCCACUGUCCACAGUGACACUGCCUGUGAACAAAGGGCUUUCAGUAUUCCCUGCCAUCUUUUAUUUCAGGUACGGAGAGCACAAGCGUGCCUGAGAACAAAAGGAAGCAGCUGGUGAAGUGAUCUUUUGCAUAUGCACCCCCUCAACACGCAAUUCCAGUCCACAAUCAAAAGGUACAUUUUUAGCGUGGUGGAAAUUUAGACACAUGAUUUUGAUUAAUGUUAAUGCAAGUCGUGUGGCCAAAUCCCUGUACACUACUUUGGGAGUUUAUUCCAAAAUUGAAAUAUCAUUAAGGUUGCAACAUAAACCAAAUAAGGCUAGGAAAUGACACUUCGUUAGUAACCUACUCAUUACAAGUACGGUAGGUAACCUGUUGCAAUGUUGCGGUACUAUAAUAAAGUGACUUAGGUGUUUAUAUACCACCGUCAACUGGCUAGAAAAAUAAGGUGAAGACAUCCAGACACACUGAAAAAUGGUUACUUUCUACAACUAGAUACAUAACUGCUUUUGAAUAUUUAGUUGCGGUAUUGAAAGGGAAGAUUUUGAGUCCUCUUCCAAGAGGUACUUCAAGACUGGCACAUUUGUUCUCUUCAUAAAUUUAUACCAAUGAGCAGUCAUGCAUAGUAGAAGAUAAUAUAGAGGAAAAGAGGAGCUGAAGGUACCAGGAAUACAGACUGAAUUUCUGUAGGAAAAUAUAAGCAAUGAAAAUACAGGUUUUAGUUUUCCCUCUUUCAUUUAGGUAUACUCCAGAUACUAUAUCUAUGAAUAUUGAAGGCGCAGUGAGGAACUCAAUAGUGAGAAAGAGGAUCCUGUAUGGGAGAAGGUACUUUGUCCUCAAGGCACUGCUUUUGCUGAUGACUGAAGGUGUACUUUUAUGGUCAUUUUCUUUAUUUUUCUUCUGCAAAAAACUGCCAAGGCAGCUUUUUUUUUUUUUUUUUUUGGGGGGGGGGGGUUGUGGUUUUUCAUUUUUUUCUACAUCAUGUAAAAGGCCAUGGAAAGAGGAACUCUCUAAACUCUUCCAUGGAGCGUGUAAGGAAGAGAGUGUCUUUGUGUCUGUACCGGUGCCAAUGAAGAAUGGAGGGGAAAAACAGAAAAGAGGCAGGAGAGGCUGAACCAUUCAGAGCGCCGUCC